rnacentral:misc_RNA from 1 species
AUAAAAGACUUUGAGACUAUACGAAGGGAUUUUGAUCAUUAUUAGAAUUAUAAAAUCUUUGACAGGUUUCACGAAAUUUAUUAACGGAACUUCAACCGGAUUUACUGCGAUUAUUGAUUUCUGUUCUGUGACGUCAGUUUUAGGUCAAUUUUUGUCCCGUGAUAAAUGUAUAUAUAAAUAAUAAAUAUUCGCAGAUAUGAAAAAACAAACGAUUUAAAAAUUGAGAAAUGUGGUAUAGAUAUGAGUAACACAAUAAUUAAUAUUCAUGUUACAACGUUCUGCACUGAAUUCAACGAAGAAUGUCCAUCUGUCAUGUACGAAUGCCAAAAAUGAUUGUAGUUUCAACUUCUACAUCAUCUAAUCGACCCGCCCGACAUGCAAACCUUUUGCAUUGCAACAACAGCACCACGGUAUCAAUGUUUGGUACUAAGUACUAACGGAAUCCUCGAUACGAUUUCCUGCAUGUCCAUAUAUGUAAUUUGUAAAUGUUUUCGAUAGAUG